AGAGUUUGAUCCUGGCUCAUGAUGAACGCUAGCGACAGGCUUAACACAUGCAAGUCGAGGGGCAUCGGGGAUGUAGCAAUACAUCUGCCGGCGACCGGCGCACGGGUGAGUAACGCGUAUGCAACCUGCCCUUCACUGGGGGAUAACCGGGAGAAAUUCCGACUAAUACCGCAUAUGAUUCCUGAACGAAUGUUCGGGUUUUGAAAGAUUUAUCGGUGAAGGAUGGGCAUGCGUGAUAUUAGGUAGUUGGCGGGGUAACGGCCCACCAAGCCGACGAUAUCUAGGGGUUCUGAGAGGAAGGUCCCCCACACUGGUACUGAGACACGGACCAGACUCCUACGGGAGGCAGCAGUGAGGAAUAUUGGUCAAUGGACGUAAGUCUGAACCAGCCAAGUCGCGUGAAGGAUGACGGCCCUACGGGUUGUAAACUUCUUUAGUGCGGGAACAAAUAAAGGCACGUGUGCCUUGUUGAGUGUACCGCAAGAAUAAGCAUCGGCUAACUCCGUGCCAGCAGCCGCGGUAAUACGGAGGAUGCGAGCGUUAUCCGGAUUUAUUGGGUUUAAAGGGUGCGCAGGCUGUCGUGCAAGUCAGCGGUCAAAUGUCGGGGCUCAACCCCGGCCUGCCGUUGAAACUGCAUGGCUGGCGUGAGUGUGAGGUAGGCGGAAUGCGUUGUGUAGCGGUGAAAUGCAUAGAUAUGACGCAGAACUCCGAUUGCGAAGGCAGCUUACCAACACUUUACGGACGCUGAGGCACGAAAGCGUGGGUAUCGAACAGGAUUAGAUACCCUGGUAGUCCACGCAGUAAACGAUGAAUACUAAUUGUUCGGGGGGCAACCCCUGAGUGAUACAGCGAAAGCGUUAAGUAUUCCACCUGGGGAGUACGCCGGCAACGGUGAAACUCAAAGGAAUUGACGGGGGCCCGCACAAGCGGAGGAACAUGUGGUUUAAUUCGAUGAUACGCGAGGAACCUUACCCGGGCUCAAACGUUGGGGGAAUGCUCCUGAAAGGGAGCAGCCAGCAAUGGUCGCCAACGAGGUGCUGCAUGGUUGUCGUCAGCUCGUGCCGUGAGGUGUCGGCUUAAGUGCCAUAACGAGCGCAACCCCUGCGUCCAGUUACCAUCAAGUCAUGUUGGGGACUCUGGACGGACUGCCGGCGCAAGCCGUGAGGAAGGCGGGGAUGACGUCAAAUCAGCACGGCCCUUACGUCCGGGGCGACACACGUGUUACAAUGGCGUGGACAGCGGGAAGCCACCUGGCGACAGGGAGCGGACCCCUAAAACACGUCUCAGUUCGGAUUGGAGUCUGCAACUCGACUCCAUGAAGCUGGAUUCGCUAGUAAUCGCGCAUCAGCCAUGGCGCGGUGAAUACGUUCCCGGGCCUUGUACACACCGCCCGUCAAGCCAUGGGAGCCGGGAGUGCCUGAAGUACGUAACCGGAAGGAGCGUCCAAGGGUAACACUGGUGACUGGGGCUAAGUCGUAACAAGGUAGCC
rnacentral:rRNA from 1 species